GAGAGAAUGUACAGUUUGACACGGAUGAGACAGAAUGAACACAAAUGACAUUUUUUUAACUGUUUCAUUGAUUUCCUGAAGAAAGAAGUAUUCUUUCUCUGACCUAGUUAACAAUUCCUGCCCUGCUUUGUGUCAUUGCUCCGUUUGUCAUGGUUUUUGCUUGUGGUUUUCCUCGUCUUUCCUUCUUUCCUGCUUCCCGGACCACUGUCGAUUUAACGCUGCUUUAGACAAAUAAAACUGAUGAACAGAAAUUGGAUUCCUUACUCUCGGUUACCAGACAAUAUCCACUUUAACAAAAAGCUUAUCUCUACGAUGGAGUUCAAGCACCCAUCUGGGAUUUUAUAGCCCAGGCUUCUGAUCACCAAAAAAAAAAAAAAAAAAAAAAAAAAAAAAAAAAAAAAAAAUUGUUACCUGUGUCUCUAACCACUACCUCUUUUAAAUGAUUGAAGCAUUCAACCAUCCAGGGUCUUGCACAUUUGCCAAACUGAAGGAAGAAGGGUGCUGUCUGGCAGGCAAAUAUCAAGAAGUUCAGAAACGCAAUGAGUCAAAAUGUACUUUAUAACUCAAUAUCGUAUCCUUAACUAGGGAAGAAUUAAUCUUUUUUUUCCUAACAGAUUCGGUUGCUGGCACAAGUGACUUAACGGUAGAUCAGGUGUAAUUGGAUUCCAUGUGCCUGAAGGUACAAUCUGACCCAAGCUAUUGCAUUUGAUAAAAGAGGCAACUGCUUUGUCUUGUUUGCAAGUGGACUGCACUAUCUGGAAAGCAGAUAAGGUCAACGGCUUUCCAAGCACUUCCUCUCUGGAAGACUCCAUGCUUCCAGCCCACAGAGACUUAGAGGGAGUUUAGACAAACAAAACAUUUUAUUUAGUAUUUUGCUUUUAGUGAAAUUUGAUGCCUUGGAAAUCAGCUCUUGGAAAGAACACAGACCUUUUCCCAUAACCACGCGUCAGCUCUGAAAUCUUAAGCAAGUUACUUAAAUUACCCAAGGCUCUGUUGGCGCAUCUAUAAAAGGAGUUAAUGGCAUAACUUUUUAUAGAGGAGGAUUAAAUAAGAUAAUGAAUGAAACAUGCCUUGCACAGGACCUGGAACAAGGAUGCCUGCACUAACUAUCCACACUUAUUGUCACCUAUAAAGUUGGUGAAAUGGAUUCUCAUUACAGGCUCCAGGGAACCUAAUCAAAUCAUAGAUGUGGUGAUCUAAGCUCUGGGCAACUGCAGAUGUUAGUCAUAGAGUUUCUUACAUCACAGUAUCUUUUUAUAUGAGUCCUCUGUAAUGCACGUUUUGCUCCUGGACUGCCUCAGUUGGACUAGCCUCCUUCUAAGUGUUGAGGAGCUAAGAGGAGUGUGUCCCUGUGGAUAGGUCACAGCUAUCCCAGUGCUGCUUCCUGUUCUCUGUAGAGGGCUUCUUGGUUUACAGAUGAAAUCAGUUGGAAAAAGAGACUCUCUAGGCCCUUGCUGUCACUGUCCAGACCUGUGACAGACAGCUCUGCUUUCUGUUCCUGAUGAGAGCUUUGGAAUCAGCGCAGACAAAGAAAAAGUACACACACACACACACACACACACACACACACACACACACACACAUCUCUCAUCCCGAGAGAGGCAGCGUAAGCAAGCAUGGUCAGUCACUCUUGUGCCCUUGUGUAAAUCUGGGAGAACUGCUUUCUGCAGUUUGACAUGAAUCCAGUCUCUAGAUUAUGAAAAAUCAAACAAAGCUCUCAGUCCCUGAAAUUGAUUCCACAGCUUUUCCAAGCCCCAAGAACUUACGUAUGGAGGCAAUAGUAUGUUCUUUUUUGAGCCUUGAGAAAGCAAAAAAGGAAAGAAAAAAAGAAGCAGAAGAAACACAGGUAGAUGAAAGAGCAGUAAUAACGACUAGACAGCUGUCCUAUGAACAACACGGUUUCUAAGCAUUUUCUGGAGGGUGAUGCUCAAAGAACAUUUUCCUGAGAUCUGUAUCAUCAACAUUAAUAGAAUUGGAUUAUUAAGGUUAAAAAAAUUAAUUUACUUAGAAGAUUAUUUGAAAGCUAAGGUCAAGUAUUAUUUCUUGAAAGCAUAUUAGACACGGUAGCAUUAGUUUGAAUGUUGAGCAACAUUUGACAGAUUUUUCUUAAAAAUGACUUUCUUCUUAUUUUUUAAAACUCCUAGGGCACUGGGGAGAUGGUUCGGUUGGUAAAGUGUUUGCCAUGCCAAUGUGAAGACUAAAUUUGGCUCCCCAGAGCCUAUAUGAAAACAAACAGAACUAGCUAGGUGUGGCAGUGCUGCCUGCAACCCUAGUUCUGGGGAGGCCGAGGUGGGAGGAUCUCUGGAGCUCCCUGGCCAGCUAGUCUGGCUGAACUGGAAAACUCCAUGUUCCAUGAGGAAGGCUUUCUCAAAAACAAGAUGGAGUGCAACAGAGGAAGACGGUCAACAUUGUCUUCUGGUACACACACAUGCUUAAGCACUCACAUGUGUAUACACAUAUGUAUACACACAUGCAUAAACACACACAUGUAUAUGCAUAUGCAUAAGCACACACACAUGUGCACACACACACUCAGUAAAACUCAUGCACACUGCCAUAAACUUUUCUUUAUAUCAUUCCCAAUAAAUGGGUAUUACUGUUAUUUUAUAUGUUAAUUUUAUCUAUUCAUUAAGAAGAUACUAUAUACUAGGAAUGGAUAGAAGUACUUUACAUAUUAUCUUAUUUAAUGUACAUAAACUCUAGUCAGUAGAUAUUAGUGUUAUGGAUAUAUCUAUCUCUAUCUAUCUAUCUAUCUAUCUAUCUAUCUAUCUAUCUAUCUCAAUCAAAACAGUUGUUCAGUGAAGAUAAUGUCUAACCAUAAAACUAACCCUUUAUUAUGAAAGAAUUACUCAACAAAGUGAGACUAAAACAUAAAAGUUUAGAAGGCUCCUUGAAAGUAUUCUAUUACC
rnacentral:lncRNA from 1 species